rnacentral:rRNA from 1 species
CUUGGUCAUUUAGAGGAAGUAAAAGUCGUAACAAGGUUUCCGUAGGUGAACCUGCGGAAGGAUCAUUACAGAGUUCGUGCCCUUCGGGGUAGACCUCCCACCCUUUGUAUACCUACCUUUGUUGCUUUGGCGGGCCGUCGCAAGACCGGCGGCUUCGGCUGUCGUGUGCCCGCCAGAGGACCCCAAACUCUGAAUACAGUGUCGUCUGAGUACUAUAUAAUAGUUAAAACUUUCAACAACGGAUCUCUUGGUUCUGGCAUCGAUGAAGAACGCAGCGAAAUGCGAUAAGUAAUGUGAAUUGCAGAAUUCAGUGAAUCAUCGAAUCUUUGAACGCACAUUGCGCCCCUUGGUAUUCCGGGGGGCAUGCCUCUUCCAGCGUCAUUUCACCCCUCAAGCUCUGCUUGGUUUUGGGCCGCGCCGGCAACGGCGGGCCUCGAAAAUAGUGGCGACGCCAUCGUGCUCUCAGCGUAGUAAUUCUUCUCGCUGUUGGGUCCCGGUGGUCGUCCGCCAGCAACCCCCAACUUUCUUAAGUUUGACCUGGGAUGAGGUAGGGAUACCCGCUGAACUUAAGCAUAUCAAUAAGCGGAGGA